rnacentral:rRNA from 1 species
GAUGAACGCUGGCGGCGUGCUUAACACAUGCAAGUCGAACGAUGAAGCCCAGCUUGCUGGGUGGAUUCGUGGCGAACGGGUGAGUAACACGUGAGUAACCUGCCCUUGACUCUGGGUUAAGCCUGGUCAACUGGGUCUAAUACUUACUAUGUCUUCUCAUCACAUGGUUGGGUGUGGAAAGAUUUAUUGUUCUUGUAUGAAGUCGCGGCCUAUCAGCUCGUUGGUGAGGUAAUGGCUCACAAAGGCGACGCCGGGUAGCCGGCCUGAGAGGGUGACCGGCCACAGUGGGACAGAGACACGGCCCAGAGGGCUACGGGAGGCAGGAGUGGGGAAUAGUGCACAAUGGGCGCAAGCCGGAUGCAGGGACGCCGCGUGAGGGAGGACGGCCUUCGGGUUGUAAAACUCUUUCAGUAGGGAAGAAGCGAGAGUGACGGUACCUGCAGAAGAAGCGCCGGCUAACUACGU